rnacentral:rRNA from 1 species
CGGCAGGCUUACACANUCCAAGUGCUUUAAGGUAGCAGAGCUUGCUCCGCUGACGACCGGCGAACGGGUGCGUAACGCGUAUAGAAUCUACCUCUUACUAAGGGAUAGCCCAGAGAAAUUUGGAUUAAUAUCUUAUAGUAUGUUGACUUGGCAUCAAGAUAACAUUAAAGGUUACGGUAAGAGAUGACUAUGCGUCCUAUUAGCUAGAUGGUGUGGUAACGGCACACCAUGGCAACGAUAGGUAGGGGCCCUGAGAGGGGGAUCCCCCACACUGGUACUGAGACACGGACCAGACUCCUACGGGAGGCAGCAGUGAGGAAUAUUGGACAAUGGAGGCAACUCUGAUCCAGCCAUGCCGCGUGCAGGAAGACUGCCCUAUGGGUUGUAAACUGCUUUUAUACAGGAAGAAACACUCUCACGUGUGAGAGCUUGACGGUACUGUAAGAAUAAGGAUCGGCUAACUCCGUGCCAGCAGCCGCGGUAAUACGGAGGAUCCAAGCGUUAUCCGGAAUCAUUGGGUUUAAAGGGUCCGUAGGUGGAUAAUUAAGUCAGAGGUGAAAUCCUGCAGCUCAACUGUAGAAUUGCCUUUGAUACUGGUUGUCUUGAGUUAUUAUGAACGUCAGUUAGAAUAUGUAGUGUAGCGGUGACAAUGCUAGAUUUACUUCGAAUACCACAUUUGCGAAAGGCGAUUACUAAUUAUAUCUGACCUGNUGGACGAAGCGUGGGGAGCGACGGAUUGAUCCCUGGGUNUCCCGC